rnacentral:misc_RNA from 1 species
GUAGGUGAACCUGCGGAAGGAUCAUUAGAAGUGAAGCCGGGAAACCGGUCCUUCUAACCCUUGAUUAUCAUAAUUUGUUGCUUUGGUGGGCCGCGCAAGCACUGGCUCCGGCUGGUUAGUGCCCACCAGAGAACCACAACUCUGUAAUAAAUGUGGUCUGAGUACUAUAACAUAGUUAAAACUUUCAACAACGGAUCUCUUGGUUCUG